UACGAAGGGGGCUAGCGUUGUUCGGAUUUACUGGGCGUAAAGCGCACGUAGGCGGAUCGAUCAGUCAGGGGUGAAAUCCCAGAGCUCAACUCCAGAACUGCCUUUGAUACUGGCGAUCUUGAGUCCGGGAGAGGUGAGUGGAACUGCGAGUGUAGAGGUGAAAUUCGUAGAUAUUCGCAAGAACACCAGUGGCGAAGGCGGCUCACUGGCCCGGUACUGACGCUGAGGUGCGAAAGCGUGGGGAGCAAACAGG
rnacentral:rRNA from 1 species